UGGGGAAUAUUGCACAAUGGGCGGAAGCCUGAUGCAGCGACGCCGCGUGGGGGAUGAAGGCCUUCGGGUUGUAAACUCCUUUCGACAGGGACGAAGCUUUUGUGACGGUACCUGUAUAAGAAGCACCGGCUAACUACGUGCCAGCAGCCGCGGUAAUACGUAGGGUGCGAGCGUUGUCCGGAAUUACUGGGCGUAAAGAGCUCGUAGGUGGUUUGUCGCGUCGUCUGUGAAAUUCCGGGGCUUAACUCCGGGCGUGCAGGCGAUACGGGCUGACUUGAGUGCUGUAGGGGAGACUGGAAUUCCUGGUGUAGCGGUGAAAUGCGCAGAUAUCAGGAGGAACACCGAUAGCGAAGGCAGGUCUCUGGGCAGUAACUGACGCUGAGGAGCGAAAGCAUGGGUAGCGAACAGG
rnacentral:rRNA from 1 species